GGCUUCGGGCUCGGCUCUAGGAACCUCUGCACGGGUGUGCUUAGAAACCAGCACUGAGUCGGCUCUCGCUCCUCCCCGACUGCUGAUCUCGAUGGUGUUUUCCCACCUCCGCCCGCUCCUCUGCCUGCUGCGCCUGAGUAAACUGCCUUCCGGACCCUUUGAGGCCGCCGGACCCUCUGAACCAGAGGACGUCCCCAAAGCUAGUCUUUUGUACCCUCCUCUCCUGCAAGAGGCUCACAACGGUCUCUAUAAGAGCCUGUGUUCAUUUUCUGUUGCUGUAAAAUUUCCUGAGGAACUGAGGCCCUCGGUCCAACAGUCCAUGAGGGACUGAAUUGUGCCAACCACCCUGUGAAUGAGCUUGGCAUCAGACCCACCCCUGUGGAGCCUUAAAAUACCCACAGCUCGAACAAAACCCUGAGCUGGGGCCCGGGAAGCAGCACCCAGAUUUCGGACUUGAAGACACUGUGAGCCCUGCCCCUCCCGCUCCGUCCCACCCACGUCCAGCAGGAGCACCUGUGGCAAACACAGGCAUUUGCAAGAUUGACAAGGGCAG